GACGAACGCUGGCGGCGUGCUUAACACAUGCAAGUCGAACGAUGAAGCCGGAGCUUGCUCUGGUGAAUUAGUGGCGAACGGGUGAGUAACACGUGAGUAACCUGCCCUUGACUCUGGGAUAACUGCUAGAAAUGGUAGCUAAUACCGGAUACGACCCUCGGAGGCAUCUCCAGGGGGUGGAAAGAAUUUCGGUCAAGGAUGGACUCGCGGCCUAUCAGCUAGUUGGUGAGGUAAUGGCUCACCAAGGCGACGACGGGUAGGCGGCCUGGGAGGGUGGCCGGCCACACUGGGACUGAGACACGGCCCAGACUCCUACGGGAGGCAGCAGUGGGGAAUAUUGCACAAUGGGCGCAAGCCUGAUGCAGCAACGCCGCGUGAGGGAUGACGGCCUUCGGGUUGUAAACCUCUUUUAGUAGGGAAGAAGCGAAAGUGACGGUACCUGCAGAAAAAGCACCGGCUAACUACGUGCCAGCCGCCGCCGUAA
rnacentral:rRNA from 1 species